rnacentral:rRNA from 3 species
GGACUACUGGGGUAUCUAAUCCCGUUUGCUCCCCUAGCUUUCGCGCCUCAGCGUCAGAAGAGGUCCAGUCGAGCGCUUUCGCCACCGGCGUUCCUUCUGAUAUCAACGCAUUUCACCGCUCCACCAGAAGUUCCCUCGACCCCUACCUCCCUCGAGCAAUCCAGUAUCCAAGGCACUUCUCCAGUUGAGCUGGAGGAUUUCACCCCGGACUUGAACUGCCGCCUACGCGCCCUUUAAGCCCAGUGAUUCCGAACAACGUUCGCACGGUUCGUCUUACCGCGGCUGCUGGCAC